rnacentral:rRNA from 1 species
GCGGACGGGUGAGUAAUGCUUGGGAAUAUGCCUUUUGGUGGGGGACAACAGUUGGAAACGACUGCUAAUACCGCAUAAUGUUUACGGACCAAAGCGGGGGACCUUCGGGCCUCGUGCCAAAAGAUUAGCCCAAGUGAGAUUAGCUAGUUGGUGGGGUAAUGGCCUACCAAGGCGACGAUCUCUAGCUGGUUUGAGAGGAUGAUCAGCCACACUGGGACUGAGACACGGCCCAGACUCCUACGGGAGGCAGCAGUGGGGAAUAUUGCACAAUGGGGGAAACCCUGAUGCAGCCAUGCCGCGUGUGUGAAGAAGGCCUUCGGGUUGUAAAGCACUUUCAGUCGUGAGGAAAGGGGUGUAGGUAAUAUCUGCAUCCUGUGACGUUAGCGACAGAAGAAGCACCGGCUAACUCCGUGCCAGCAGCCGCGGUAAUACGGAGGGUGCGAGCGUUAAUCGGAAUUACUGGGCGUAAAGCGUGCGUAGGCGGUUUGAUAAGCCAGAUGUGAAAUCCCGGGGCUUAACCUCGGAACUGCAUUUGGAACUGUUUGACUAGAGUACUGUAGAGGGUGGUGGAAUUUCCAGUGUAGCGGUGAAAUGCGUAGAGAUUGGAAGGAACAUCAGUGGCGAAGGCGGCCACCUGGACAGAUACUGACGCUGAGGCACGAAAGCGUGGGGAGCGAACAGGAUUAGAUACCCUGGUAGUCCACGCCGUAAACGAUGUCAACUAGCUGUUUGUGUUCUUGAAACGUGAGUAGCGUAGCUAACGCGCUAAGUUGACCGCCUGGGGAGUACGGGCCGCAAGGGUUAAAACUCAAAUGAAUUGACGGGGGGCCCGCACAAGCGGUGGAGCAUG